UAUAUACCAAAUGAUGGACAUUAAAAAAAUAACCUCUAUUAAAAAGCUAACGUGUGUUUGCCUCGGUGAUAUUACCAGAGCUAGCUCUAACUGAAUAUACUUCUUUUAUUUCCAGAAUAUAGAAUUUUUACAGGCAUUAUCAGCUCCUGACACCUCUCUGCCAAGUCUGAACUUUGUUGAAUGCAUCAUGGACAGGUACUGGAAACAGGGAAUGUGGCUUUGUCCCUAUAUUAAAGCAAGCCCUAGACUGGAGAAACAAAUUCUCUCCCACUGAGACAGAAGAUCAGGUUUGUGAGCACCUGAGGAACAUGAAUAUAUAUAAAGAUAUUGUAUCAGAUGAGGUGCAUCCCAGAGUCCUGAGAG